rnacentral:rRNA from 1 species
AACAAACGCUGGCGGCGUGCCUAAUACAUGCAAGUCGAACGGGGAAAGCUUUCGGGUGAGUACUAGUGGCGCACGGGUGAGUAACGCGUGGAUAAUCUGCCUUAGAGUGGGGGAUAACUAGUCGAAAGAUUAGCUAAUACCGCAUAAGACCACAAGAACCGCGGUUCAAGGGGUCAAAGGUUUUUCACUCUAAGAUGAGUCCGCGUAAGAUUAGCUAGUUGGUGAGGUAAUGGCUCACCAAGGAGACGAUCUUCAACUGGUUUGAGAGGAUGAUCAGUCACACUGGAACUGAGACACGGUCCAGACUCCUACGGGAGGCAGCAGUAGGGAAUAUUGCACAAUGGAGGAAACUCUGAUGCAGCGACGCCGCGUGAGUGAUGAAGGCCUUCGGGUCGUAAAGCUCUGUCGCAAGGGAAUAACACAAUGAAUGUACCUUGCAAGAAAGGAUCGGCUAACUUCGUGCCAGCCGCCGCCGUAAGAC